AGGAGUCAGAGAGAGAGGUAGAGGGGAGAGAGAGGAGUCAGACAGAGAGGUAGAGGGGAGAGAGAGGAGUCAGACAGAGAGGUAGAGGGGAGAGAGAGGAGUCAGACAGAGAGGUAGAGGGGAGAGAGAGGAGUCAGACAGAGAGGUAGAGGGGAGAGAGAGGAGUCAGACAGAGAGGUAGAGGGGAGAGAGAGGUAGAGGGGAGAGAGAGGAGUCAGACAGAGAGGUAGAGGGGAGAGAGAGGAGUCAGACAGAGAGGUAGAGGGGAGAGGGAGAAGUCAGACAGAGAGGUAGAGGGGAGAGAGAGGAGUCAGACAGAGAGGUAGAGGGGCGAGAGAGGAGUCAGACAGAGAGGUAGAGGGGAGAGAGAGGUAGAGGGGAGAGAGAGGAGUCAGACAGAGAGGUAGAGGGGAGAGAGAGGAGUCAGACAGAGAGGUAGAGGGGAGAGAGAGGAGUCAGACAGAGAGGUAGAGGGGAGAGAGAGGAGUCAGACAGAGAGGUAGAGGGGAGAGAGAGGUAGAGGGGAGAGAGAGGAGUCAGACAGAGAGGUAGAGGGGAGAGAGAGGAGUCAGACAGAGAGGUAGAGGGGAGAGAGAGGAGUCAGACAGAGAGGUAGAGGGGAGAGAGAGGAGUCAGACAGAGAGGUAGAGGGGAGAGAGAGGAGUCAGACAGAGAGGUAGAGGGGCGAGAGAGGAGUCAGACAGAGAGGUAGAGGGGAGAGAGAGGAGUCAGACAGAGAGGUAGAGGGGAGAGAGAGGAGUCAGACAGAGAGGUAGAGGGGAGAGAGAGGAGUCAGACAGAGAGGUAGAGGGGAGAGAGAGGAGUCAGACAGAGAGGUAGAGGGGAGAGUGAGGAGUCAGACAGAGAGGUAGAGGGGAGAGAGAGGAGUCAGACAGAGAGGUAGAGGGGAGAGAGAGGAGUCAGACAGAGAGGUAGAGGGGAGAGAGAGGAGUCAGACAGAGAGGUAGAGGGGAGAGAGAGGAGUCAGACAGAGAGGUAGAGGGGAGAGAGAGGAGUCAGACAGAGAGGUAGAGGGGAGAGAGAGGAGUCAGACAGAGAGGUAGAGGGGAGAGAGAGGAGUCAGACAGAGAGGUAGAGGGGAGAGAGAGGAGUCAGACAGAGAGGUAGAGGGGAGAGAGAGGAGUCAGACAGAGAGGUAGAGGGGAGAGAGAGGAGUCAGACAGAGAGGUAGAGGGGAGAGAGAGGAGUCAGACAGAGAGGUAGAGGGGAGAGAGAGGAGUCAGACAGAGAGGUAGAGGGGAGAGAGAGGAGUCAGACAGAGAGGUAGAGGGGAGAGAGGGAGAAAAAUAGAGAGGUAGAGGGGAGAGGGAAAAAAUGAGGGAUUUAAUGAUUUGUGAUGCAGGGAGGUCAAAGCAUUGACUAGCAAUUGUAGUACGUUGGUUUGAGAUAAUUGACUGAUCAAGUCUGAAAUGGGAUGGAAGCCUCAGGUCUGGACAACAGGAGUCCACUAUGUAGGGUGCCAUCUUGGAC